ensembl:lncRNA
AAUUGCUUUGGAUGGAGACUAUGCUUCUUUUGAGCUGCUGCUGGUUGUUGGAAGGGGCCUGAACCAGACCACCAAGCAGCACGAAGUUUGGCAGGUGGCUGAGAUGUGUGAUUGUGAGGGACCAGGACCCCGAACUCUCCAGCUUCAAGCGCACAGACCUUCACCCUACAGAGGCUGUAUGGAAGCAGGAGGCCCCGUGGACCCAUGGCCAUCACUACUGUGCUGUCUGAGGAUGAAGGCAUCUGGGAUGAGCUGCAUAACGCAACAGAAACAGCACGGUCUUUCUUUGCUUAGAAGUUUCAAGCCAGGAAAUUCCUCAGCCUGCUUGAAAGCUCAGAGACAAAAGUCAGAUUUACACAGCUCACCUCAGCAGUCCAGUGCUUAUGAGAGAAAGUGCUGUAAAUUAUUCUGAGGAAAAAAAAAAGGAAGACUCCUCAUCUUUCUUUCUGAUUGUCACAUUUUAUUUCUGUAGAGAAAACCUGCCAAUUCUUUAUGUGAUUUCAAUAUUUCUAAAAAUGAUCAUAUCAACAGCAUGCACCUUUAUCCGACACAUUCAGCUUCUCAAAUGUGACAUGAGAGUGUAUGAUUUAAUUCUCCCUUUGACAUGAGUGUUGGAUUCUGAUCAGUCUUUCAGUUUACCUCCACUGAUGAUCCAUCCAAAUAAGUGUCAGGGUUCUUUCACGAUAACUCUUUCUCCACCAGUAAGGCAUUAUUUGAAUGUGGCAUUCUCUUGUCCCUUUAAAAAAAAAAAAUCCUAUUCUAAAUUGAUUCACAAGGAUGGAGCAAAAGGGGUUUUAAGAACAGAUUUGAGUUGUUAGCAUGCAUUGUAAAACUAUCAACAGCUUCCUUGGGGUCUAACAGGAAUGCUGAAAACUAUGUCAAAGCUUAUACAAAUAUUUAAGUGGAAGGCUUUCCAAUGUAAAUCUCAAUAAAAUGAAAUCAAAUAUGUGGUGC